rnacentral:rRNA from 1 species
UGGGGAAUAUUGCACAAUGGGCGCAAGCCUGAUGCAGCCAUGCCGCGUGUAUGAAGAAGGCCUUCGGGUUGUAAAGUACUUUCAGCGGGGAGGAAGGCGAUAAGGUUAAUAACCUUGUCGAUUGACGUUACCCGCAGAAGAAGCACCGGCUAACUCCGUGCCAGCAGCCGCGGUAAUACGGAGGGUGCAAGCGUUAAUCGGAAUUACUGGGCGUAAAGCGCACGGAGGCGGUAUGUCAAGUCGGAUGUGAAAUCCCCGGGCUCAACCUGGGAACUGCAUUCGAAACUGGCAGGCUAGAGUCUUGUAGAGGGGGGUAGAAUUCCAGGUGUAGCGGUGAAAUGCGUAGAGAUCUGGAGGAAUACCGGUGGCGAAGGCGGCCCCCUGGACAAAGACUGACGCUCAGGUGCGAAAGCGUGGGGAGCAAACA